rnacentral:rRNA from 1 species
AUUAUGAUAAUGACAUUGUCUGCCUAUAUGUCUUGACCAAAUUACGUGCCAGCAGUCGCGGUAAUACGUAGAAGACUAGUGUUAUUCAUCCUUAAUAGGUUUAAAGGGUACCUAGACGGUAAAUCAAGCCUUCACAGGGACUAAUUUACUAGAGUUACUUACGAGGGGGUAUUAAAGUACUACAGGUGUAGAGAUGAAAUUCUGUCAUACCUCUUUUCAAAAGAAAAAUUAUGGCACAGGUAUAGGUGAAAGCAUCCCCUUAUGUGAUAACUGACGUUGAAGGACGAAGGCUUUGUGUCGCGAACAGGAUUAGAUACCCCAGUAGUCAAAGCAGAAAAUGAUGAAUGUCAUAGAUUAGAUAAAUAGUUUAUUCUAUAAAUGAAAAUGUAAGCAUUCCACCUCAAGAGUAAUUUGGCAACAUUGGAACUGAAAUCAUUAGACCGUUUCUGAAACCAGUAGUGAAGUAUGUUGUUUAAUUUGAUGAUCCGCAAAAAACCUUACCACAAUUUGAAUAUUUAUAUCUAUCUUUUUUUUCGUAAAAAAAUAAAAAGGUAAUAUAUUUACAAGCGUUGCACGGCUGUCUUCAGUUAAUGUCGCGAGACUUUGGUUAGUUCCAUUAAAUUAACGUAAACCCUUACUUUAUUUUUAUAUGAAGUAGUUCCCCGCUAUAUUGGAUAUGAUAACAGGGACUAAGACAAGUCAUCAUGGCCUGAAUAUUGUGGGCUAUAGACGUGCCACAUAAACCUUACAAAAGGGUGUGAAAUUGCGAAAUUGAGC